UAAGGGUGGCCGAUGUAUACCCUGUGGACUCGAAUUUGUGCUGGCUUCUGGAAUCCACAAAUUCGAUUCUUAAGGACUACAUAGUCACCUCCU
rnacentral:pre_miRNA from 1 species